UCCGGUUUGUUUCCGGCGGUCUCCCUAGAUAUGCAACUAAGGACAAGGGUUGCGCUCGUUGCGGGACUUAACCCAACAUCUCACGACACGAGCUGACGACAGCCAUGCAGCAUCUGUGCACCUGUCCCGAAGGAGGCUGUUGUUUCCAACAGUUGCAGGCGCAUGUCAAGCCUUGGUAAGGUUCUUCGCGUCGCAUCGAAUUAAACCACACGCUCCGCUGCUUGUGCGGGUCCCCGUCAAUUCCUUUGAGUUUUAGUCUUGCGACCGUACUCCCCAGGCGGGCCACUUAAUGCGUUAGCUGCGGCACGGAAGGGGUCAACACCCCCCACACCUAGUGGCCAUCGUUUACUGCUAGGACUAC
rnacentral:misc_RNA from 1 species